UACGUAGGGGGCAAGCGUUGUCCGGAAUCAUUGGGCGUAAAGAGCUCGUAGGCGGCUUGUUGCGUCGACCGUGAAAACCCGGGGCUCAACUUCGGGCUUGCGGUCGAUACGGGCGGGCUAGAGUUCGGUAGGGGAGACUGGAAUUCCUGGUGUAGCGGUGAAAUGCGCAGAUAUCAGGAGGAACACCAGUGGCGAAGGCGGUUGCCUGGAGCUUUGCUGACGCUGAGGCGCGAAAGCGUGGGGAGCGAUCCGG
rnacentral:rRNA from 1 species